rnacentral:rRNA from 1 species
AUGAACGCUGGCGGCGUGCUUAACACAUGCAAGUCGAGCGAAGCACUUAGGAAAGAUUCUUCGGAUGAUUUCCUAUUUGACUGAGCGGCGGACGGGUGAGUAACGCGUGGGUAACCUGCCUCAUACAGGGGGAUAACAGUUAGAAAUGACUGCUAAUACCGCAUAAGACCACAGCACCGCAUGGUGCAGGGGUAAAAACUCCGGUGGUAUGAGAUGGACCCGCGUCUGAUUAGUUAGUUGGUGGGGUAACGGCCUACCAAGGCGACGAUCAGUAGCCGACCUGAGAGGGUGACCGGCCACAUUGGGACUGAGACACGGCCCAAACUCCUACGGGAGGCAGCAGUGGGGAAUAUUGCACAAUGGGGGAAACCCUGAUGCAGCGACGCCGCGUGAGCGAAGAAGUAUUUCGGUAUGUAAAGCUCUAUCAGCAGGGAAGAAAAUGACGGUACCUGACUAAGAAGCCCCGGCUAACUACGUGCCAGCAGCCGCGGUAAUACGUAGGGGGCAAGCGUUAUCCGGAUUUACUGGGUGUAAAGGGAGCGUAGACGGAGCAGCAAGUCUGAUGUGAAAACCCGGGGCUCAACCCCGGGACUGCAUUGGAAACUGUUGAUCUGGAGUGCCGGAGAGGUAAGCGGAAUUCCUAGUGUAGCGGUGAAAUGCGUAGAUAUUAGGAGGAACACCAGUGGCGAAGGCGGCUUACUGGACGGUAACUGACGUUGAGGCUCGAAAGCGUGGGGAGCAAACAGGAUUAGAUACCCUGGUAGUCCACGCCGUAAACGAUGAGAACUAGGUGUUGGGGGAAUAACUCAGUGCCGCAGUUAACGCAGUAAGUUCUCCGCCUGGGGAGUAUGCACGCAAGUGUGAAACUCAAAGGAAUUGACGGGGGCCCGCACAAGCGGUGGAGUAUGUGGUUUAAUUCGAAGCAACGCGAAGAACCUUACCUGCUCUUGACAUCCCGGUGACGGCAGAGUAAUGUCUGCUUUUCUUCGGAACACCGGUGACAGGUGGUGCAUGGUUGUCGUCAGCUCGUGUCGUGAGAUGUUGGGUUAAGUCCCGCAACGAGCGCAACCCCUAUCUUCAGUAGCCAGCGGUAAGGCCGGGCACUAUGGAGAGACUGCCAGGGAUAACCUGGAGGAAGGUGGGGAUGACGUCAAAUCAUCAUGCCCCUUAUGAGCAGGGCUACACACGUGCUACAAUGGCGUAAACAAAGGGAAGCGAACCCGCGAGGGUGGGCAAAUCCCAAAAAUAACGUCUCAGUUCGGAUUGUAGUCUGCAACUCGACUACAUGAAGCUGGAAUCGCUAGUAAUCGCGAAUCAGAAUGUCGCGGUGAAUACGUUCCCGGGUCUUGUACACACCGCCCGUCGCACCAUGGGAGUCAGUAACGCCCGAAGUCAGUGACCCAACCGUAAGGAGGGAGCUGCCGAAGGUGGGACCGAUAACUGGGGUG